rnacentral:rRNA from 1 species
AUUGAACGCUGGCGGCAUGCCUUACACAUGCAAGUCGAACGGUAACAGGUCUUCGGAUGCUGACGAGUGGCGAACGGGUGAGUAAUGCAUCGGAACGUGCCCAGUAGUGGGGGAUAGCCCGGCGAAAGCCGGAUUAAUACCGCAUACGACCUGAGGGUGAAAGGGGGGGAUCGCAAGACCUCUCGCUAUUGGAGCGGCCGAUGUCAGAUUAGCUAGUUGGUGGGGUAAAGGCCUACCAAGGCAACGAUCUGUAGUUGGUCUGAGAGGACGACCAGCCACACUGGGACUGAGACACGGCCCAGACUCCUACGGGAGGCAGCAGUGGGGAAUUUUGGACAAUGGGCGCAAGCCUGAUCCAGCAAUGCCGCGUGCAGGAAGAAGGCCUUCGGGUUGUAAACUGCUUUUGUCAGGGAAGAAAUCUUCUGGGUUAAUACCCCGGGAGGAUGACGGUAUUUAAAGAAUA